ACAGAACAAGUGUCUUGGUUCACAGCAAAGAGGACAAAGAAAACAGCAAGUUUUAGGGGGUUGAAUCCUGGAUUCCCCUGGCAAACACCAUUCUACUUUCCGUCUCUAUGAAUUUGACUACUCGAAGUACCUCAUGUGAAAUGUUGGUGCCAAAUGAACUUUUCUGGUUCUUCUGAAUAUGCCACUGUUGCUGGAGAAAUGUCACUGCUAGAGAACAGAAGACUAUUAUUCCAAAGGGUAUUUGAGACUGACUGAAUCAGGUCUGGAACAUUAUUGAAAUGAGACCCACAAAAGAAGAGAUACUGAGGAUGAAGAGAUCCUCCUAGCUUGGCGGAAUACUCUGCUCUGAUGGAAGUACCAUCCUGGUCCAAACAUGAAAGAAUUCCCAACAUCAAGAUUGAUUGAAACAUAUUCAAUGGGUGGUGACCAGAUGGAUAUAAACGGGCUGUGGAAAAAGAGAAUGCAUGGCCAAAAAUGGUGGUGCUCUCUGUCCAAAAACUGAGGCCCUAUGACCAUGAAUGAAGCCAGAGGGCAGGUAGGAAUAGAAGCAGAAAGACCCGGAGAAGGCCGGGAUGUCCUCAAUUUCCUUCUUUUCUGCUUACUCCUUUAAACAUCUCAGCAACCGCCUGUCACAUCUCCAGAAUUACAUCGGCCUCCCUUGAAGUAUCAUUUGCUCCAGAAGAAGCUGGUUGCCAUGUCUUGAGGACAGUAAACCCUCUGGGGAGGUUCCUGUGGUAAGGAACAAGGGCUCCUGGCAAUAGCCUCUGAGUGAGCCACCUUGAAAAUGGAUUGUCCAGCCCCAGUCAAGCUUUCAGAUGACUGUAGCUCCUGCCAAUGUCUUCACCACAACCUCAUGAGAUCCCAAGCUACAACCACUCAGUUAAGUUAUGCCAAAAUUCCUGAUUCACAGAAAUUGACAUACAGGAGAGGUCACAGUUAAGAUCUUGAUGUUCUAUCUUGACCCAUAAUAUAGGAACUUCAUCUUUUGGGAAGCACCAGGGAGAGCUGCCUGUGCCUGGCAGAAGCUGCCCAUGCCCCACUGAUACCCCACAGUACUUCCUGUUCUGCUUAGUACUCCUGCUUCUUUCUACAAACAACUGUGAUUCUCUACCUGGGAGCUUCCUCUGGCCACAGGAGCCUGCUCACCUGAUUGGGACACCCUAGCAGUACUGGCUCAUAGAUGGAAGGGACUUGCCUUGUCGCUGAUGAGACUUUCGACUUGGACUUUUGAGUCAAUGCUGGAAUGAGUUAAGACUUUGGGGAACUGUUGGAAGGGUGUGAUUGUGUUUUGAAUUGUGAGGACAUGAGAUUUUGAAGAGGCUAAUGGCAGCGUCCCCACCUAAAUCUCUUCUUGAAUUGUAGUUCCCAUAAUCCCCACGUGUCGUGGGGUGGAGCCGGUGGAGAUAAUUGAAUCAUGGGAACACUUUCCCCCAUGCUGUUAUUGUGAUUGUGAAUUCUCACGAGAUCUGAUGGUUGUAUAAACGCCUUCCCUCUUCGCUGGGCACUCAUUUUUCUCCUUCCUGCCACCAUGUGAAGAAGGAUAUGCUUGCUUCUUGUGCCAUGAUUGUAAGUUUCCUGAGGCCUCCCCAGCCAUGCUGAACUGUGAGUCAAUUGAACCUCUUUCCUUUAUAAAUUACCUAGUCUUGGAUAUGUUUUUAUUAGCAGUGUGAGACAGGACUAAUACACAAAGGAUUUGAAAUCACAAAGGAGCUGUUUUCUGCUCCACCAUGGAAGUCUCACAUGCAUCACAUCUAUUCAUAUCCAUUUGCCACAACUAGACAAAAAGUCCUUUUUAAAAUCUGCCUAGAGAUCAGGAAGUAUUAUCUCUGGAUGCCUAGGCAGGAGAGGUGAAUCAGAUAUUGGUGGGCACUAGUGUGUUCUAUGAUACAUAGCUUAAUAAAAAUAAGUUUCAGAUAAAUCUAAAUAUACAUUAGAAUACUGUAACCACAGUAGAAAAAAAUAUUGGCUCCUUUUUGUGAUAAACUAAUGAUGGUAAAUGCACCCUAUUUAAGCAAGAAAAGAAACUGAUCUGCCAUAAAGAAAACAAUGACAUAUUUAACUACAAAAUAUGUUACAAAAUAUUAAUAUCCCUAAUGGACAAAUGAGUUCCAAUAAAUGGAUAACAAAAAACCAAUAAGUCUGUAGAAAAAUGGAGAAAAUAUAUUUGCAGAAUAUUUAUACAGGUGGUAAUGAAAUUGACAAUGAUGUUUAUCAUCAGCAGUAAACAGUAAAAAGUUUCACCCACCAGGACUAUAGAAAUUUUUCAAAUGGAUAAUUUUCAGAAUCAGCAAAGUUAUAGAAAAGUAGGUACCAGUUGCACAUACCAUUGGAGGAAAUGUAAAAUAUAGUUACCUUGUGGAAAGUAAUCUGAUGUAAUAUAUUAAAAUUUUAUCCAUGUAUGUCCUAUAAUUCAGCAAUUCCAUGUUGGGGAAUCCAUACAAAGAAAUACUUAUACACAUGCAGAAGGAGCUAAGUUUAAGAAAGCACACAUUUCAGCGGGUUGUGGUGUCUCACCCCUGUAAUCCCAGCACAUUGGGAGGCCGAGGUUGGUGGAUCACCUGAGGUCAGGAGUUUGAGACCAGCCUGGCCAACAUGGUGAAACCC
rnacentral:lncRNA from 1 species